rnacentral:rRNA from 1 species
GACGAACGCUGGCGGCGUGCUUAACACAUGCAAGUCGAACGGAAAGGCCCUGCUUUUGUGGGGUGCUCGAGUGGCGAACGGGUGAGUAACACGUGAGUAACCUGCCCUUGACUUUGGGAUAACUUCAGGAAACUGGGGCUAAUACCGGAUAGGAGCUCCUGCUGCAUGGUGGGGGUUGGAAAGUUUCGGCGGUUGGGGAUGGACUCGCGGCUUAUCAGCUUGUUGGUGGGGUAGUGGCUUACCAAGGCUUUGACGGGUAGCCGGCCUGAGAGGGUGACCGGCCACAUUGGGACUGAGAUACGGCCCAGACUCCUACGGGAGGCAGCAGUGGGGAAUAUUGCACAAUGGGCGGAAGCCUGAUGCAGCAACGCCGCGUGCGUGAUGACGGCCUUCGGGUUGUAAACCGCUUUCGCCUGUGACGAAGCGUGAGUGACGGUAAUGAGUAAAGAAGCACCGGCUAACUACGUG